CCCCUGCCGUCUGGUUUUCCACAACAUUGCAUGACUGGAGGAGGUUUAAGCUCUGUACUGGAUUCUGGACUUAUGAUGACCACAGCACAAGACAGUUCUCCGAGGGAAGCUGUUCGACUGUCCUGUGGGCCGGGACACAUGGCGCCUGAACAUGGACCUGAGUACGAGGGAUCCAGUGAAGAGCUCCCGAGGAAGGCUCCAGUGCAGAGCAAACAAGAAAAGCUGGCGGAAAACAGAAGCAGGCCUCAUCUCAGUCUCCACAGAAUAAUAAACCCACAGUUAUACCACCAGGUCACAGUCAAGAUCAUUAUUCAGUCUUGCCGAAUGUCCUUAAACCUGUGGGUCUAGAGCUUACCACAAUACAGCCUGCUGGUGUGGUGGGAACUUCUUCAAUCCACCAUGAGGAUGCAUCUCAGCCCUUAGUGCCAGUUAGUAAUGAAGAACUUUCAUUGGUUAAUUCCUGCAGCAGGGAAAAUAUUUGGCAGUGCUGAUGCAGAUCAACAAAAUAAGGAUACCUGAUUCUGUUUUGCUUCUUUGACACUACUGCUGCUGGUUUUGAUCCUGUGCUACUCCUGACAGAACAGGGGGAUCUCUGUCUUGCUUUACAGAAACGCUGCUGCUUUUACGCCAACAAGUCCAGCAUCGUUCUGAAUGGAAUGGACUCCUCCCCGUUUUCCUCCCCAUAUUUGGUCUGAUUCUGGGUUUACUGAUUGUUUGCUCUUUGGGGCCUGUUCUCUUUAAUAAGCUCAUGGUUUUCCUUAAACAACAGAUUAAUUCCAUAAAAAUGCAGCCUAUCCAAGUCCACUACCACAGCCUGGAGAUGGAGUAUCGCGGAGCCUAGACAUUGCUCCUGCCUGAGGCGCUGAAUCGGUCAGCCAAAGACGGGUAAGAGAGUCAGAGCCUGUAACAGCUGUACAGUCCUCCCACCUAAGACAGGAAACCCAUCAUAGCUAUGGGAUUCUCCAGUGAUGGGUAAGGAUGGACAUGUGGCUCUAAAAAUGACUCCAACCUAAGACAGGCACGAUUCCCCCAGGUUUUUCUCCUCUCUUUGAAAAAUA